rnacentral:rRNA from 1 species
GUAAAAAGAUAGAAUAAUAGAUUUGAAAUAUUUAUUAUAUAGAUUUAAAGAGAUAAUCAUGGAAUACAGAAUAUAUUUUAAUUAUUUUUUAUAAUUAAGAUAUUAAACUAUUAAUAGAAUUAGGUUACUAAUAAAUUAAUAACAAUUAAUUUUAAAACCUAAAGGUAAACCUUAAAUAAAUAAUAUAUUAAUAAUAUAUAUUAUAAAUAAAUAAGAACUAAGUGAACUGAAACAUCUAAGUAACUUAAGGAAAAUAAAUCAACAGAGAUAUUAUAAGUAUUGGUGAGAGAAAGUAAUAUAGUCUAAAUAAGUAUUAUGUAAUAAAUAUGUAAGAAAAUAGGAUAACAAAUUCUAAGACUAAAUACUAUUAAUAAGUAUAAAAAGUACCGCAAGGGAAAGUAUAAAAAUGAUUAUUUUAUAAGCAAUCAUAAAUAUAUUAAUUAUAUUAAUGAUGUACCUUUUGUAUAAUGGGUCAGCAAGUAAUUAAUAUUAGUAAAACUAAUAAGUUAUAAAUAAAUAGAUAAAAAUAAUAUAUAUAUAAAAAUAUAUAAAUAAUACAUAUAUUUUAAAAAUAAUAUGUAAUAUUUAAUUAAUAUUAAUUGACCCGAAAGCAAACGAUCUAACUAUGAUAAGAUGGGUAAACGAUCGAACAGGUUGAUGUUGCAAUAUCAUCUGAUUAAUUGUGGUUAGUAGUGAAAGACAAAUCUGGUUUGCAGAUAGCUGGUUUUCUAUGAAAUAUAUGUAAGUAUAGCCUUUAUAAAUAAUAAUUAUUAUAUAAUAUAUUCUAUAAUAUAUUAUAUAAAGAACGGUACAGCAAUUAAUAUAUAUUGGGGAACUAUUAAAGUUUUAUUAAUAAUAUUAAAUCUCGAAAUGUUUAAUUAUAAAUAAUAAAGAGUCAGAUUAUGUGCGAUAAGGUAAAUAAUCUAAAGGGAAACAGCCCAGAUUAAGAUAUAAAGUUCCUAAUAAAUAAUAAGUGAAAUAAAUAUUAAAAUAUUAUAAUAUAAUCAGUUAAUGGGUUUGACAAUAACCACUUUUUAAUGAACAUGUAACAAUGCACUGAUUUAUAAUAAAUAAAAUAAUAUUUAAAAUCAAAUAUAUGUAUAUAAUAUAUUUAUAUUUGUUAAUAGAUAAUAUACGGAUCUUAAUAAUAAGAAUUAUUUAACUGAAUAUCUAAAUAUUAUUAUUAAUCUAAAUAAUAAUAAUAAUAUGGUAAUAGAACAUUUAAUGAAAGAAUAUAUUAGUUAUUAAUUAAUAUAUAUAAUAAUUAGAUAGAGAAUGCUGACAUGAGUAACGAAAAAAAGGUAUAAACCUUUUCACCUAAAACAUAAGGUUUAACUAUAAAAGUACGGCCCCUAAUUAAAUUAUGAAUAAAAAUAUAUUAAAGAUGGGUUAAUCUAUACUAAUAAAAUAAUAUCUUAAAAUAUAAAUAUUAAAACAUUUAUAAUUAUAAAAAGUAUAUAUAUUAAUAUAUAUAUUAUUAUAUAAACUAAUAAAGAUCAGGAAAAGUGUUAGUGUAUACCGUAAUGUAGACCGACUCAGGUAUGUAAGUAGAGAAUAUGAAGGUGAAUUAGAUAAUUAAAGGGAAGGAACUCGGCAAAAAUAGCUCUAAAGUUAGUCAAUAAAGAGUAAUAAGAACAAAGUUGUACAACUGUUUACUAAAAACACCGCACUUUGCAGAAACGAUAAGUUUAAGUAUAAGGUGUGAACUCUGCUCCAUGCUUAAUAUAUAAAUUAUAUGGUUUAACGAUUAUAUAAUUAAAUUUAGGUAAAUAGCAGCCUUAUUAUGAGGGUUAUAAUGUAGCGAAAUUCCUUGGCCUAUAAUUGAGGUCCCGCAUGAAUGACGUAAUGAUACAACAACUGUCUCCCCUUUAAGCUAAGUGAAAUUGAAAUCGUAGUGAAGAUGCUAUGUACCUUCAGCAAGACGGAAAGACCCUAUGCAGCUUUACUGUAAUUAGAUAGAUCGAAUUAUUAUUUAUUAUAUUCAGCAUAUUAAGUAAUCCUAUAAAAUAUAUAAUAAAAUAUAUAUUUAUAAGUAAUCGUUUAGAUAUUAAUGAGAUACUUAUUAUAAUUUAAUGAUAAUUCUAAUCUUAUAAAAAAUAAAAAUAAUAUAAUAUAAUUAUUAUAUUAAACUUAAUAGAUAAAUAAUUCUUAAGUAAUAUAUUAUAUAUAUAUAUUAAUUUAUAUAUAAUAAUAUAAAUAAGAGACAAUCUCUAAUUGGUAGUUUUGAUGGGGCGUCAUUAUCAGCAAAAGUAUCUGAAUAAGUCCAUAAAUGAAUAUAUAAAAUUAUUGAAUAAAAGAAUGAUAUAUAUUAUAUAUAUUAAUUAUAAAUUUAAAUAUAUUUAUAUUUAUAUUUAUUAAUUUAAUUAUAAAUUGAAUAUAUUUAAGUAAUAGAUAAAAAUAUGUACAGUAAAAUUGUAAGGAAAACAAUAAUAAAUUCUAUUCUAGUAUAGAAAAUUAAUUAAAUAAUAUAAUGGUAUAACUGUGCGAUAAUUGUAACACAAACAAGUGAAACAAGUACGUAAGUAUGGCAUAAUGAACAAAUAACACUAAUUGUAAAGGUUAUUGAUAACGAAUAAAAGUUACGCUAGGGAUAACAGGGUAAUAUAACGAAAGAGUAGAUAUUGUAAGUUAUGUUUGCCACCUCGAUGUCGACUCAACAUUUCCUCUUGGUUGUAAAAGCUAAGAAGGGUUUGACUGUUCGUCAAUUAAAAUGUUACGUGAGUUGGGUUAAAUACGAUGUGAAUCAGUAUGGUUCCUAUCUGCUGAAGGAAAUAUUAUCAAAUUAAAUCUCAUUAUUAGUACGCAAGGACCAUAAUGAAUCAACCCAUGGUGUAUCUAUUGAUAAUUCUAUAAUAUAUAUUUUAAUUAAUUAAUUUCUAUAUAUAUUAUCUAUAUUAGUUUAUAUUAUAAUUAAUUGUCAUAGUAGAUAAGCUAAGUUGAUAAUAAAUAAAUAUUGAAUACAUAUUAAAUAUGAAGUUGUUUUAAUAAGAUAAUUAUCUGAUAAUUUAAUACUAAAAUUUAAAUAAUAUUCAUAUAUAUUAUAUAUAUAUGUUUAAUUAAUAGGUUUUAUAUAUUAUUUAUAUAUUUAAUAUAUAAUAUUAAUAAAAUACUAAUUUAUCAGUUAUCUAUAUAAUAUCUAAUCUAUUAUUCUAUACCCC